rnacentral:rRNA from 1 species
AACGAACGCUGGCGGCAUGCCUAACACAUGCAAGUCGAACGAGACCUUCGGGUCUAGUGGCGCACGGGUGCGUAACGCGUGGGAACCUGCCCUUAGGUUCGGAAUAACUCCCCGAAAGGGGUGCUAAUACCGGAUAAUGUCUUCGGACCAAAGAUUUAUCGCCUUUGGAUGGGCCCGCGUUGGAUUAGCUAGUUGGUAGGGUAAAAGCCUACCAAGGCGACGAUCCAUAGCUGGUCUGAGAGGAUGAUCAGCCACACUGGGACUGAGACACGGCCCAGACUCCUACGGGGGGCAGCAGUGGGGAAUUUGGGACAAUGGGCGAAAGCCUGACCCAGCAAUGCCGGGGGAGUGAUGAAGGCCUUUGGGUUUUAAAGCUCUUUUCCCCGGGAUGAUAAUGACAGUACCGGGAGAAAAAGCUCCGGCUAACUCCGU